rnacentral:rRNA from 1 species
AUGCACGCCGCAAUACACAUCUUUAUUUUCUCUACCAGCAUGCUCUUGUUCUGUGUGACUAGAUGUCCAAAACAUUGUCGUCUCAGUUCUGGCCAAGGAUAUUCAUAUCGUUGUAUUAAAUCACCUUUCUUUCCUCUAAUGUUGUAUUGCAGGGUUCAAGGAUUCCCGAGAAGUGGCCAAUGUUCAGUGAAACUGUUGUAUGCUCCCGAGGAAAGUGGUCUCGUGCUAAAAAUCAAGUGCAUUGACCAUGUUAUAUGUUUUCUGAUUUCUUCGCUCAAAAGGUCAUCGAUUGUUGAAUAUGUCUUCUAUGCUACACUUCUUUAA